AUUCCAUUACAUUCUUUGCAUUUGUCUCAGAAAGGUUCGACUUAAAAUGUGCCAGUAUAUGGCAAUGUGCAUACAUAUUUGUGAUCUAUAUAGAGAAUCUAUCUAUUCGUUCCACCCUCUUCACCUGGUCUGCUCUUAUGAACCUCUGUUUUCUGCUGCUCUGCCCUAACCCAUCCUCCAAGGUAACAACCUGUGUUCUCUACUGCUCUGCCCUGACCCAUCCUCCAAGGUAACAACCUGUGUUCUCUACUGCUCUGCCCUAACCCAUCCUCCAAGGUAACAACCUGUGUUCUCUACUGCUCUGCCCUGACCCAUCCUCCAAGGUAACAACCUGUGUUCUCUACUGCUCUGCCCUAACCCAUCCUCCAAGGUAACAACCUGUGUUCUCUACUGUUCUGCCCUAACCCAUCCUCCAAGGUAACAACCUGUGUUCUCUACUGCUCUGCCCUGACCCAUCCUCCAAGGUAACAACCUGUGUUCUCUACUGCUCUGCCCUGACCCAUCCUCCAAGGUAACAACCUGUGUUCUCUACUGCUCUGCCCUGACCCAUCCUCCAAGGUAACAACCUGUGUUCUCUACUGCUCUGCCCUAACCCAUCCUCCAAGGUAACAACCUGUGUUCUCUACUGCUCUGCCCUGACCCAUCCUCCAAGGUAACAACCUGUGUUCUCUACUGCUCUGCCCUGACCCAUCCUCCACGGUAACAACCUGUGUUCUCUGCUGCUCUGCCCUGACCCAUCCUCCAUGGUAACAACCUGUGUUCUCUA